rnacentral:rRNA from 1 species
UACGUAGGGCGCAAGCGUUGUCCGGAAUUAUUGGGCGUAAAGAGCUCGUAGGCGGCUUGUCACGUCUGCUGUGAAAUCCCGGGGCUCAACCCCGGGCGUGCAGUGGAUACGGGCUGGCUAGAGGCAGGCAGGGGAGAACGGAAUUCCCGGUGUAGCGGUGAAAUGCGCAGAUAUCGGGAAGAACACCCGUGGCGAAGGCGGUUCUCUGGGACGGUACUGACGCUGAGACGCGAAAGCGUGGGGAGCGAACAGG